CCAGGAAGUCGCCUCUCUCGCUCUCUCCGGCAGGAGGCGGGUAGCUUUGCGGGUGUAGCCCCGAAUGCUGCUGAGCCAGGUGGACCGGGAGGGGCGGGGCGGAACCCUUUGGCUACGGGCCUGAGACUAGGUCCCCCGAGGCUGCGGCUGCCUGGGCAAGAGGUCGCCAUUCAUUCCCCACGUGUGGUUGAAGAGCGAGGGCCCCGUCAGGGGCCCUUUGGAAGUCCGUGCUGGUCCCUACAGAAGAGGCGUCCUGCGUGGACCCUGGGCUGCUGCCGGCCUUCUCAGAUCGGAGGUCCUCCUCCUCCUUCCACCUGCAGCUCAGGUGACCGGCGCCAUGGCUUUUCCCCAUCGGCCGGACGCGCCAGAGCUGCCUGACUUCUCCAUGCUCAAGAGACUGGCCCGAGACCAGCUCAUCUAUCUGCUGGAGCAGCUUCCAGGAAAAAAGGACUUGUUCAUCGAGGCAGAUCUCAUGAGCCCUUUGGAUCGAAUUGCUAAUGUCUCCAUCCUGAAGCAACACGAAGUAGACAAGCUGUACAAAGUGGAGAAUAAACCAGCCUUCAGCUCCAGUGAACAAUUGUGCUUCUUGGUCAGACCCCGCAUCAAGAACAUGCGGUACAUUGCCAAUCUUGUCAAUGCUGACAAAUUGGCUGGCCGAACUCGAAAAUACAAAGUGAUCUUCAGCCCUCAGAAGUUUUACGCAUGUGAGAUGGUGCUUGAGGAAGAGGGCAUCUAUGGAGGUGAGGAGAUGAAUGCAGGGGAACGUGGAGGUCGGGUGGGAGAAGGCUGCUCCCCUGCCCCCUCUCCUCCUUUUCCCUGUCUCAUUCCUGGUGACCCAGCAGGAGGAGAGGGUCCUGAGAAUGGGAAGCCAGACCCCACAUCCGAACACCAGUGGGAUGAUGAGGAGGUGCCCGGGUGAGAGCUGCAGAUCACUGGCUGCAGUCUCCUUACCUUCCAAGACUUCCACGGGGAAAACCUCUGCCUUCCCUCCUCUGUGUUUUCCUUACUCCGUCCUCCGUGACACAGAACGGAUCACAGUACCCUCUGCCGGAAGUGCUGCAGGGGCUCAGAAUAGAGCCCAGGAUCCGCAGCCUGGCCUCCUGCGCCUCUGCAGUCUGGCCCCUUCCUGGCCCUUUAGCCUCAUUGUGUGCGACUCCUUUCUCCUGACCCACUGCCUUCCCGCCACAGGGACUUGAUACAUCUGUUCAUGCUGCCUGGACUGUUCCUCCCCCUAUGGCUUUUGGCCUACCCAAAUCAUACUCCCAUUCUAGGCCUAAAUGUCACUUCCUUAAGAAAGUCUUUCCCAUACCCCUAGUUGAGAUUAGAUCCCCCGAAAUACUUGUGUGCUCCUCGGUUGCUCUUUUACUUCUCUGGAAUAUGUAACUGUAAUUGAAUUGGUUUGGUGUGUUCUGGUAAGCUCUAGAAGUCAGGAGCGUGUCCAUUUUGUUGACCCCUGUGUUCCCAGUGUUUAACCUAGUGCCUGUACAUAUAGAGCUUUCAGUCAGUAUUUUUCAGAUAAUGAACAAAUGAAGGCUGUGUCUCCACUUUGAUCGACAUGCUAGUGAAGAAAGACACACCACUUAGGACGUAGUAGUACAGACUGUUACGUACAUGUCUCCUUUCCCUACCAGCCUGUGAGCCCCUUCCGGGCAGAGACUUCAUCUUCAUCUUCAUCUCUGAGCAUCCUGUGCUCAGUGCGGUACUUGGCUUGGGGCAGGCUCUUGGGAAUUUUUGCACAAGUGGAGUGGACCUUCCCUCUUAAUGUGGAGCCUCAUGAGGGAGGCAGGGCAGGUUCACGCCCUUCAGUAGGGAGACUGAUGUUCUUUGUACCCCUAGAUGUGAGCUGUGACGAAUGGGCUUUCUCUUUGUUGCCUCUUGAUGUGGACCUGUUGAGCAUGGAACUACCAGAAUUUUUCAGGGACUAUUUCCUGGAAGGAGAUCAGCGUUGGAUCAACACUGUGGCCCAGGCCUUGCACCUCCUCAGCACCCUCUAUGGACCUUUCCCUAACUGCUAUGGGAUUGGCAGGUAUGCCAAGAUGUCACAUGAACUGUGGAGGAAGCUGGAGGAGGAGGAGGAUGGUGAAACCAAGGGCCGAAGGCCAGAAAUUGGACACAUUUUUCUCCUGGACAGAGAUGUGGACUUUGUGACAGCACUUUGCUCCCAGGUGGUUUACGAGGGCCUGGUGGAUGACACCUUCCGCAUCAAGUGUGGCAGUGUCGACUUUGGCCCAGAAGUCACAUCAUCUGACAAGAGCCUGAAGGUGCUGCUCAAUGCCGAGGACAAGGUGUUUCAUGAGAUUCGUAACGAACACUUCUCCAACGUCUUCAGCUUCUUGAGCCAGAAGGCCCGGAACUUGCAGGCCCAGUAUGACGUGAGGCUCCCAGCUCGGGUCUCCUGUCUGUUCCCCUCAGUGACUCCCCAAGUCUGCUGCCCUGUGGCUCCUCUUCUGACUCCGCAGUGGGUGGGAGCUGCGGGAAGGGCGGUGGUCGCUCCUCUCUGAGAGCAGGGAGGUGGACCUCACAGGGCGUCCCCACAGCGUCGGAGAGGCAUGGACAUCAAGCAGAUGAAGAACUUCGUGUCCCAGGAGCUCAAGGGACUGAAACAGGAGCACCGGCUGCUGAGUCUCCAUAUUGGGGCCUGUGAAUCCAUCAUGAAGAAGAAAACCAAGCAAGACUUCCAGGAGCUCAUCAAGACUGAGCAUGGUGACUCAGCUCCUUAUCCCACUUCUGCUUCUCUGCCUCCCAGCCCCAGCCCACCCUGAAAAGAUGCUUUCUGGCUCUUUCCAGCUGACAUAGGCUGUGUGGAAUGCUGGUUCCUACCAGGAGUCCUGGGGGCCCUUUACCCCACCCCAGGGAUGGAGAAAGAGGGUGAUAGACACCCGUUAGCAUCGAUGGCAACAGCUGAGCUGCUCCUACAGUAACAGUCUCUCCUCUGAUUUCUUGCAGCACUGCUAGAGGGCUUCAACAUCCGGGAGAGCACCAGCUACAUCGAAGAGCACAUAGAUCGGCAGGUGUCACCCAUUGAAAGCCUUCGCCUCAUGUGCCUUUUGUCCAUCACUGAGAAUGGUUUGAUCCCAAAAGAUUACCGAUCCCUGAAAACCCAGUAUCUGCAGAGUUAGAUCCUUGGUGGAUGCUCAGUAGGUAGCUGCACUGCAUUUUCUUCAGAGCUAUGGCCCUGAGCACCUGCUAACCUUCUCCAAUCUGCGGCGAGCUGGGCUCCUAACAGAGCAGGCACCGGGGGACACCCUCACAGCUGUAGAGAGUAAAGUGAGCAAGCUGGUGACGGACAAGGCUGCAGGAAAGAUUACUGAUGCCUUCAGUUCUUUGGCCAAGAGGAGCAAUUUUCGUGCCAUCAGCAAGAAGCUGAAUUUGAUCCCACGUGUGGACGGCGAGUAUGAUCUGAAAGUGCCACGCGACAUGGCCUACGUGUUCAGUGGUGCUUAUGUGCCCCUGAGCUGCCGAAUCAUCGAGCAGGUGCUGGAGCGGCGAGGCUGGCAGGGCCUGGACGAAGUGGUGCGGCUGCUCAACUGCAGUGAGUUGGUGUUCACAGACAGGAGCAAGGAAGACAAGGCUUCCAGUGAGUCCCUGCGCCUCAUCUUGGUGGUGUUCUUGGGUGGUUGCACAUUCUCUGAGAUCUCAGCCCUGCGGUUCCUGGGUAGAGAGAAAGGGUACAGAUUCAUUUUUCUGACGACUGCAGUCACCAACAGUGCUCGCCUUAUGGAGGCCAUGAGUGAAGUGAAAGCCUGAAGUUUUCCCUGCCACAAUUGAAGUCUCAUGUUCCUCAGUGGGAUGCAGGCAUUUGACUCCCGGCGGCAAAUAAAAUCUCUACUAAUGCCCCUCCUAAGAGCUAAGGAGCAGGGAACUUUUUUGGGACUUAGAGAACAUAUCUGAGGAGAGAGUUCACAUCCUACCCCCAGGAUAUUUCUUUUUCGUUUAAGGAGUCCAGCCGAUGCUGACAAAAUAAGGUAGAAAAAGAUCUUUUGCUAAAUCCUCUUUUAGGAUCAUUGUAAAUAAAAUCUUUACUCUUAGUGUCA